rnacentral:rRNA from 1 species
UACGAAGGGGGCUAGCGUUGCUCGGAAUCACUGGGCGUAAAGCGCACGUAGGCGGCUUUCUAAGUCAGGGGUGAAAUCCUGGAGCUCAACUCCAGAACUGCCUUUGAUACUGGCGAGCUUGAGUUCGGGAGAGGUGAGUGGAACUGCGAGUGUAGAGGUGAAAUUCGUAGAUAUUCGCAAGAACACCAGUGGCGAAGGCGGCUCACUGGCCCGAUACUGACGCUGAGGUGCGAAAGCGUGGGGAGCAAACAGGGAUUAA